UUUCCGUAGGUGAACCUGCGGAAGGAUCAUUCAUAAUAAAGUGUUUUAUGGCACUUUUUAAAAAUCCAUAUCCACCUCGUGUGCAAUGUUAGAUCUCGUCAAUCUUGGCGAGAUUUUUAUACAUCAACUCAUUCUUUAAUUAAUUUGUCUGAAAAAUAUUAUGAAUACUUAAUUCAAAAUACAACUUUCAACAACGGAUCUCUUGGCUCUC
rnacentral:misc_RNA from 1 species